rnacentral:rRNA from 1 species
AUGAAGUCACUCGAUCACUCGCACAGGAGCCAAUUUCCCAUACCUUUCUUUGGUUUGGCUCUUGUGCUACUGGUCUUCUUGGCUUCUCCCACCAGAUCCUGCACAGAGCAGGAGAAGAGCUCCCUUCUCCAGCUUCUUGCUGGGCUCUCGCACGAUGGUGAUCUCACGGCAUCAUGGCGGAGCAACACGGACUGCUGCAGGUGGGAAGGGAUCAACUGCAGCCCGAAUAGGAUGGUCACUGAUGUUGUGCUAGCUUCUCGAGGUCUCGAGGGGUCCAUUUCGCCGUUUCUAGGCAACCUCACCAGCUUGUUGCGACUCGACCUGUCCCACAACUUGCUGUCUGGUGGCUUACCGCUAGAACUGUUGCAGUCUAGCAGCAUCCUUGUCCUUGACGUAAGUUUUAACCGCCUGACAGGAGGCCUCAGUGAGCUGCCAUCUUCCACCCCUGCGCGGCCUCUGCAGGUACUGAACAUCUCGAGCAACUUGUUUACAGGAAGAUUUCCAUCCACUAUAUGGGAGGUGAUGAAGAGCCUAGUUGCGCUCAAUGCCAGCACCAACAGCUUUACCGGGCAGAUGCCAACUAUGUCUUGUGUUAGUGCACCAUCUUUUGCAGUGCUUGAACUCAGUUUUAACAAAUUCAGUGGAAACAUUCCUCCAGGACUCAGUAAUUGCUCCAUGCUGAAAUUGCUCAGCGUUGGCAACAACCACCUCAGUGGGACACUUCCAGAUGAACUCUUCAAGGUUACCACAUUAGAGCACCUCUCGUUACCUUUCAAUUGGUUAGAAGGAGAGCUCAAAGGCAUCAUCAAGCUAACAAAUCUGGUCACCCUUGAUCUUGGGAAGAAUGAGUUCAGAGGCAAUAUACCAGAAACUAUAGGUGAGCUGAAGAAGUUGGAGGAGCUCCUCUUGGACCACAACAGCAUGUCAGGGGAGCUUCCAUCAGCGCUGAGCAACUGCACAAACCUCGUAACGCUUGACCUCAAGGUAAACCAUUUUAACGGAGAAUUUACCAAGAUCAACUUUUUAAGCCUGCCCAAUCUAAAAAUAUUAGAUAUUUUUUCCAACGACUUCACCGGCACAAUUACAGAAAGUAUAUACUCCUGCAGCAAGCUAACAGCAUUACGGCUAUCUUUCAAUCAUUUCCAUGGUCAAUUGUCAGAAAAGAUAGGCAAUCUGAAGUCUCUCUCGUUUCUAUCACUUGUUAACCUCUCCCUUACGAAUAUCACAAGAACACUUCAGAUCCUUGGGAGUUCCAGGAGCCUCACCACCAUUUUUAUUGGGUUCAAUUUCAUUCAUGAGACCAUGCCAGAGGAUGAUAAUAUUGGUGGUUUUGAGAAUCUUCAGGCUCUUUCUAUGAAUUAUUGUUCAUUGUCUGGAACAUUACCUGGUUGGUUAUCAAAGCUCACCAGGUUGAAGAUGCUAUUUUUGCAAAGCAAUCAACUUACUGGACCAAUACCUGACUGGAUCAGCAGCCUAAACUUGCUCUUCUAUCUAGAUAUAUCAAACAACAGCUUUACGGGGGAAAUUCCAACUGCCUUAAUGGAGAUGCCAAUGCUAAAAUCAGACAAGACUGCACCAAAGAUCUUCUCUGAGCUGCCUCUUUAUUUUUUUCACUCCAUUUGUCGAAUACCUCAAACCUGGUGCUUUUCCAAAAGUGCUCAAUCUAGGCAUCAAUAA